UGCCCGUUGGUCAAGUGGUUAAGACGUCUGGUUCUCAUCCAGGAAUCACGGGUUCGACUCCCGUACGGGUGA
rfam:Lactobacillus sharpeae JCM 1186 = DSM 20505 NODE_71, whole genome shotgun sequence.